rnacentral:rRNA from 1 species
AGAGUUUGAUCCUGGCUCAGGACGAACGCUGGCGGCGUGCCUAAUACAUGCAAGUCGAGCGAGCGGAACUAACAGAUUUACUUCGGUAAUGACGUUAGGAAAGCGAGCGGCGAAUGGGUGAGUAACACGUGGGGAACCUGCCCCAUAGUCUGGGAUACCACUUGGAAACAGGUGCUAAUACCGG